CCCCUGCCCUAGAUAAGGCAGGGCCGGGGCGAGGGGAGUUCACUCCUUUUCUCCCGCCAUGCAUCAUUUUGGCCACAGGCCAGCAGUUUGGUAAUAAACUUUCUCUCCUGCCUGAAUACUGCGUGGCGUUCUCCUUUAUCGGCUACCUACUUUAAUAAACCUUACACUGAUGGUGCUGUGACAUGGGAAGG